UGCAGAUAGGGUGUUUGAUAGAUUUUCCAUGAGAUUGUUUAAGUCUUGUAAUCUUGCAUCAGGUUUGCCGAAACUGACUUCUAUCUAAGAUUAAUUGCUUCUAUUCUUCUGUUGUUACGAAGUUCAGUUACUAUGCAAGGUACCAAAUAUCCUCCAAACCCUCACAUAAACACAGAUUCUAACUGCAUUACCGGCACUGAAUAUUUCUGAAUUGGUUGAUUAGAUGAUUAUGAAAUAGGCACUCGGCAGGAUUGCAAGGUCUAUUGUCCAACUGAGGUGCUCUUCGGUAUAAAUAAAAACCCAGGAAACAAAGGAAAUUACAACGAAGUCCUCCUGAGCUCCAGCUUCGCCGGCGACCAGAACGAGAGAGAGACGCGCCGCUACCUCUGCUCGUCCACACGCCAAGGAUCGACGAAAGCAUCCCCAAGGCAACUGGGAAGUCCCCGCUCACCGCCCCCGGAGGGGUAACGCCCUGGACCAACGGCUCCGCCGCAAAGCACCACGCCAUCUUCUUCAACAUCUUCGAGAUCCAGAUCCGCCGCACGGGAUCUGGCUGGGGAGAACCGCACCGCGCAGAUGCGUCGAUCCGCGAACGGCGAGGAAGCAGGCGCUUGACCACGGAGCUCCGCCGAGCGCCGUAGACGAAGGAGUCGCGAACCUGCACCAAACACUUCACCGGCGCCACCACCACCUCCAUGGCACCGCUGGCUGCAAACCCUACAGAUCCUACACUAUAUACAACCGCGAAACGGGGAUCCCUCGCCCUCCCGCCGCCGGAGCGGCCGGCGGAGGGCGAGAGAUCCGGCGAAACUGCGGUGGCGAGGUGGAUCGGCGGGGAGAUUUCAGAAAUCGCCCUCUGUUACUGUGCGGGAGAGGGAGACGUCCUUGGCUCGUCAACAUGUUGUUUAAUGUUCAGUAUUUCUUUUCUGUAGGUGUGCACUAUGCGAACAAGAAGCUGAAAUUGGAAAGUGAGGAAUUGGUGCUCUACUGCCGCUGAUGGUAAAACACUGCAAUAUAUAUGCAUUUCAGUUGUGCUGUUUUGUGUUGAUGGUUUAAUAAGAGCCUAUGGACAUUAAAUUUCGUCUCUAUUUGAGUAGAACAUAGAUGGCUCCAAAGUUGCAAAGUAAAUUUCUGUACAGAUGUGGAAAUGAUAAUCAUUCGGUUCUAGGAUGUGAUAUCACGCAUGUUCAACACACUAUUUACUCUUCAAAUACAUGUGCAUAUGAAAAACUGAGACUUACUAGACAUAUUUUUCUAGUUAAUCUAUUUAUGUUUCAUUUGACUUUGUCUGCAGACUUGUUAUUAUCGAGGAGUCGCAACACAACAAAAUACCAUGGAUUUAUAAAGUGCUUUCGAUGGCAUCUUGCAAGAUCAUGUGGCAUUAUCUGCUUUAUUUCUAGGUAUAGGUUCUAGCUAGUUUGGAACAUAAAGUUUGUGUGUAGAUGUGGAGGACAAGUAGGGCGCUGACGAUGUUGCGGCACCAAAUUUUGCGGGAGGAUGCGACGUGGAAGCAGGGUGUUCUUCAAGGAAGGACUAAAUAUCUCCCAAAAAAAUGCUGGGUGGAUCGAUAGUGGGCUAGGACGAGCAUCACUACCACUACCAGUCGAUUCUUUUUUUGUAACUUUCGUUGUAAUGAAUCUACAACCUGAUUGUAAACUAUUGUUGCUAUGAAUAAAAAUGAUAGUUUUUCUGAGAA